AAGAAACAAAGUAAAGAAAUGGAAUGCAACAUUUGUAUGGAAAAAGUCACUGAGCUGGAAACUCUUAGUCGCUUCGGUAUCCUAGAGAAUUGUAACCACUGUUUUUGUUUAAUGUGUUUAUUUGAAUGGCGGCAGAAUAAAACAAUGGCUAACCAUAGAGCUUGCCCAGUCUGUCGGAUUCACUCCAGAUUUGCAAUAGGCACCAAAUAUUGGAUCACAUGUCCACUAUCAAAAAAGAAGCUUAUUGAGUAUUCGAAAGAGGAUUUCGCGGAUAUGAACAAUUGAGGAAACAGGACCAGAUGAUUCAGAAAGGAAACAUUUGUUAAAAACAUUGUUAACAUUCCAUGAGUAAUCGACAUAUUACCUAUACGUAUACAAAAUCUUAACGGAAAUAUUUUAUUUAAUUGUUGAAUGUGCAGUAAUAUUAAUUUGACAUGCCUUACUAUAAAUUUAUUAAGCUUAUUAUCUUUGAA